AUGCCAUUAUAAUGUGACUUACUCUGCCAGGUGUAGGUAUGUCUAACAAUAAAUGAAUGUUUCAAAAAUGUAAAAGUAUUUUGCUGGUAAAUUAAGAAGCCAGACAAUUUCCCUCAGGAAUUUUCUAAUGUAUUAACAUUUUUAUGGACUUACUUUCUACAUCUUCAGUUAAAACAUGUAUCUUCUAUACGAACAAUUAUGAAGACUAUUGGUUUCUUCCUUAGACUGAAGAUGGGAAACUAAUCAUUGAAGGAAUGCUGGAUAUUUUUGGGGGGGAGUAAACGGCCUAUACAGCUGAAGAUACAAGAUGAAAAGCAGAAAUCUUCUUUUACCACACUGAAGUUACCAGAUGCUUUUUCCACCAAAGGACUAUUUAUCUUAUCACCGCAGUACUCUGAAGCUAUAUGCAGAUGAAGAGCCAGAAUCCCCAUUGCUCUAUAGAUGUAUGAGUGAAGCAGUCCUGGUGAGAAAAAGAACAAAGCCUCCAAUGGUAGACAGAAAAGAACAACAGUUCCACAGGGCUUCUAUUAAUGGACACUUCUAGAACCAUAAAUGAGUAAAAAGUUUUCCCUUUGUUAUGCUGCACCACACAUAGUUGUGUUUCUCCCAAGAUGAAUGUCAUGAGGCAUACACAUUACUAUCAGCUACUUACCUGUUCAAGAUAAUACUAUUAGUUUUAUAGAACUUUAUGGAUUUAUAAGACUUUUUUCUCUAGACAUCAAUUUUCACCCCAGCCUUUGCAUCAGAAACUAAAGUCAGAAUAAACAGUAACAUGAGAACUGAAGAAGUAAUCAAGCAACUUCUCCAAAAAUUCAAGAUUGAGAACAGUCCUCAGGAUUGUGCUCUUUACAUUAGUUUUGCAACAGGAGGUAAGAAAGCUUUAUCACUCUUUGUGCCUAGCUCUUUGUGUGUUAGCCCAUGGGGUUGAAAUAAGAGCAAAUUACCUGACUUUGUUGGGGGAAAGAAACGAAGGAUCAGUGAAAGGGGAAAGAGUUUUUUGCUGUUCUUGUAGGGGGGAUGGGGAUUGGUCCUGGGGUUUGGAACUUAACCCAGGAACUCAUACAUAUGAGACUAUGCUCUGAUAUGGUUUUAGAAUGCUAAUCAUAUGCCUCAA